CCUAAGGUAGCGAAAUUCCUUGUCGGGUAAGUUCCGACCUGCACGAAUGGCGUAACGACUUCCCCACUGUCUCGACCAGGAGCUCGGCGAAAUUGCAGUACGAGUAAAGAUGCUCGUUAAGCGCAGAAGGACGAAAAGACCCCGGGACCUUUACUAUACCUUGGUAUUGGCGUUAGGCGCGGAUUGUGUAGCAUAGGCGGGAGGCUUCGAAGCGUGGGCGCCAGCUCAUGUGGAGCCGCAAGGUGAAAUACCGCUCUGUUCUCGUUUGACGUCUCACCUCGAACGGUCAUCCUGUUCAGGGACAGUGCCUGGCGGGUAGUUUAACUGGGGCGGUUGCCUCCCAAAGAGUAACGGAGGCGCUCAAAGGUCCGCUCAGCCCGGUUGGCAAUCGGGUGUCGAGUGCAAUCGCACAAGCGGGCUUGACUGCGAGGACGGCGGUCCGAGCAGGGACGAAAGUCGGAGAUAGUGAUCCGGUGCCGGCGCACGGGCGCGGCAUCGCUCAACGGAUAAAAGGUACCCCGGGGAUAACAGGCUGAUCAUUCCCAAGAGUCCAUAUCGACGGGAUGGUUUGGCACCUCGAUGUCGGCUCGUCGCAUCCUGGGGCUGGAGCAGGUCCCAAGGGUUCGGCUGUUCGCCGAUUAAAGCGGCACGCGAGCUGGGUUCAGAACGUCGUGAGACAGUUUGGUCUCUAUCCUCUGCGCUCGUUGGAAUCCUGAGGAGGCCUGCCCAUAGUACGAGAGGACCUGGGUGGACGAACCUCUGGUAUGCCGGUUGUCGCGCCAGCGGCACGGCCGGUUGGCUACGUUCGGGAGGGAUAACCGCUGAAAGCAUCUAAGCGGGAAACUAGCUUCGAGAUUAGGUUUCCGUCCCAUUUUGUUUGGGGGGAGGUUCCCGGUAGAUUACCGGGUUGAUAGGCUAGGAGUGUAGACAUUGUAAGGUGACCAGCUUACUAGUACUAAUUGACCGAUAACUAACAAUA
rnacentral:rRNA from 1 species